CCUACGGGAGGCAGCAGUGGGGGAUAUUGCACAAUGGGGGAAACCCUGAUGCAGCGACGCCGCGUGGGUGAAGAAGCGCCUCGGCGCGUAAAGCCCUGUCAGCAGGGAAGAAAAUGACGGUACCUGAAGAAGAAGACCCGGCUAACUACGUGCCAGCAGCCGCGGGAAUACGUAGGGGGCAAGCGUUAUCCGGAUUUACUGGGGCUAAAGGGGUCGGAGACGGCGAUGCAAGCCUGGAGUGAAAGCCCGGGGGCCAACCCCGGGACUGCUCUUGGAACUGAGUAGCUAGAGUGCAGGAGGGGCAGGCGGAAUUCCUGGUGUAGCGGUGAAAUGCGUAGAUAUCAGGAGGAACACCGGUGGCGAAGGCGGCCUGCUGGACUGCAACUGACGUUGAGGCCCGAAAGCGUGGGGAGCAAACAGGAUUAGAUACCCCGGUAGUC
rnacentral:rRNA from 1 species